rnacentral:rRNA from 1 species
GAUCAAGCUAUUAAGGGUAUGCGGUGGAUGUCUUGGCGUCAAGAGGCGAUGAAAGACGUGGAAACCUGCGAUAAGCCUAGGGGAGCUGGUAAACAAGCUUUGAUCCUAGGAUUUCUGAAUGGGGAAACCCGGCACUAUAUGUGUCAUCCAUGCCUGAAUGUAUAGGGUAUGGAAGCGAACCUGGCAAACUGAAACAUCUAAGUAGCCAGAGGAAAAUAAAGAAAAGUCGAUUCCGUAAGUAGCGGCGAGCGAAAGCGGAUCUAGCCCAAACCAUCCUUCGGGAUGGGGUUGUGGACAUCAACAUUUGCACUCUAAUCAUUAUGAAAAGUUUGGAAAGGCUUACCGUAGAAGGUGACAGUCCUGUAAUAAUGAUAAAAAGUGUGAUAGAUGCACCAGAGUAGCGCGGAGCUCGUGAAACUCCACGUGAAGCUGGGGGGCCCACCCCCCAAGGCUAAAUACUACUUGACGACCGAUAGCGUAUCAGUAGGGUGAUUGAAUGAUGAAAAGUUCCCCGAUAAGGGAAGUUAAAAGUACCUGAAACCGCAUACUUACAAGCGGUCGGAGCCAUUCUUCGGAAUGGUGACGGCGUGCCUUUUGCAUAAUGAGCCGGCGAGUUAAUCUUCGUGGCAAGCUUAAACUGUACACCAGUGUAGGCGUAGGGAAACCGAGUCUUAAAAGGGCGCCAAGUCGCGGGGAUUAGACGCGAAACCGAGUGAUCUACCCAUGGUCAGGUUGAAGGGAAGGUAAAACUUUCUGGAGGACCGAACCCGUUAACGUUGAAAAGUUAUGGGAUGAACUGUGGGGAGGAGUAAAAGUCUAAUCAAACUCGGAGAUAUCUCGUUCUCCUCGAAAUAGCUUUAGGGCUAGCCUCGCGUUACACUUUGAUAGGGGUAGAGCUACCAAAUGGGGCUGGGGGGCAACCUGCCUACCCACCCCAAUUGAACUCCGAAUACUAUCAAGUUUUGUCGCGGGAGUCAGACUGUGGGGGUAAUCUCCAUGGUCAAAAGGGUAACAACCCGGACCGCCAGCUAAGGUCCCCAAUACCAUCUAAGUUCUUAAGGAAGUUACUGUCCAAUGACAGCCAGGAUGUUGGCUUAGAAGCAGCCACCAUUUAAAGAGUGCGUAAUAGCUCACUGGUCGAGGAUGGUAGCGCCGAUAAUGAUCGGGAAUAAGAUGGUAACCGAAGCUGCGGACUACAAUUAAUUGUAGUGGUAGAGGAGCGUUCUUAUCAGCGUUGAAGCGAAUCGGGCAACGAUUCGUGGAGCGGUAAGAAGUGAUUAUGCCGGCUUGAGUAACGAUAAAACAGGUGAAAAUCCUGUUCGCCGAAAGACUAAGGUUUCCUGGGGAAGGUAAAUCCGCCCAGGGUUAGUCGGCCCCUUAGACGAGGCUGAAAAGCGUAGUCGAUGGGAAGCAGGUUAAUAUUCCUGCACUUUUUAUAACUGCGAUGGAGGGACGGAGAAGGCUAAACUAGCUUGCUGAUGGUUGCAAGUUUAAGGUAGUAGGCAGAGAUCUUAGGCAAAUCCGGGAUUUUAAUGCUGAGAACUGAUGACGAGUCCUCUUUUGGACGAAGUAGUUGAUGCCAUGCUUCCAAGAAAAGCUUCUAAGCUUCAGGUCAUAAAGA